rnacentral:rRNA from 1 species
AUACGGAGGGUGCAAGCGUUAAUCGGAAUUACUGGGCGUAAAGCGCGCGUAGGCGGUUAGAUAAGUCGGAUGUGAAAUCCCUGGGCUCAACCUGGGAACUGCAUUCGAUUCUGUCUAACUAGAGUAUGGUAGAGGGAAGUGGAAUUCCGGGUGUAGCGGUGAAAUGCGUAGAUAUCCGGAGGAACAUCAGUGGCGAAGGCGACUUCCUGGACCAAUACUGACGCUGAGGUGCGAAAGCGUGGGGAGCAAACAGGAUUAGAAACCCCAGUAGUCC